GACGAACGCUGGCGGCGUGCCUAAUACAUGCAAGUAGGACGCACAGUUUAUACCGUAGCUUGCUACACCAUAGACUGUGAGUUGCGAACGGGUGAGUAACGCGUAGGUAACCUGCCUAUUAGAGGGGGAUAACUAUUGGAAACGAUAGCCAAUACCGCAUAACAGUAUGUAACACAUGUUAGAUGCUUGAAAGAUGCAAUUGCAUCGCUAGUAGAUGGACCUGCGUUGUAUUAGCUAGUAGGUAGGGUAAAGGCCUACCUAGGCAACGAUACAUAGCCGACCUGAGAGGGUGAUCGGCCACGCUGGGACUGAGACACGGCCCAGACUCCUACGGGAGGCAGCAGUAGGGAAUCUUCGGCAAUGGGGGGAACCCUGACCGAGCAACGCCGCGUGAGUGAAGAAGGUUUUCGGAUCGUAAAGCUCUGUUGUUAAGGAAGAACGAGUGUGAGAAUGGAAAGUUCAUGCUGUGACGGUACUUAACCAGAAAGGGACGGCUAACUACGUGCCAGCAGCCGCCGUAA
rnacentral:rRNA from 1 species